GGCUGUCUUCGAUAGUCCGAGUUGUAAUCUAUAGACGUGUUUUCCGUGCUGGACCGUAUCUAAGUCCCUUGGAACAGGGUAUCAAAGAGGGUGACAAUCCCGUGCUUGAUACGACCACCAGUGCUCUGUGAUACACGCUCUACGAGUCGAGUUGUUUGGGAAUGCAGCUCAAAAUGGGUGGUAAAUUCCAUCUAAAGCUAAAUAUUGGCGAGAGACCGAUAGCGAACAAGUACCGUGAGGGAAAGAUGAAAAGCACUUUGGAAAGAGAGUUAAACAGUACGUGAAAUUGUUGAAAGGGAAACGAUUGAAGUCAGUCGUGUUCUUUGGAUUCAGCUAGUUCUUCUAGUCUACUUCCAUUGAACGGGUCAACAUCAGUUUUGUCCGGUGGAUAAAGAUAGUAGGAAUGUAGCUCCCCCGGGAGUGUUAUAGACUAUUAUUGCAUACACUGGGUGAGACUGAGGACUGCAGCUCGCCUUUUGGCCGGUCUUCGGACACGUUCGA
rnacentral:rRNA from 1 species